GUUUAGCUGAUCCUGAAAUAACUGGUAUGUGGAGAUAAAGAGUGUGAAAGAGAAGACAUAGAGACCAAAGGGAAAACAGAACCAAAUGUCACAAGAUCAGGCAAAAUCUCUGAAACUCUAGGGAGAAGGUGUCAAAAGUUAGAAAUCCUGAAUGGGCAGGGGCACUGUCAGAUCUUUUAUUCCCCUCAGAAACAAACCUCCAGAGGCUGGGGGAUUGAAAAGGGGGAAGAGAAACUAAAUAAAGUUACAGGGAUCAGAUAGCAUUCCGGAGAAGAAGGGUGAGGAUUAUGGUCAAAGCAGAAUGCUAACAGUACUGUGGGAAUGAUGCUGAGAGCAUUAAAUCCCUUAAGGAGAGGGGGAUAGGUAACUUUUGGAAACCAAGAGUCGCUGGGUGGGUGGGUGGCAGUAAAGUAAUAGAAUCAGAAGAAGCAGAAGAAGAAAGGGCCACAUCUUUAGCUGAGGGAAAUGGGAACCCAGUGCUAGGGUUGCACAGAGACCUCGGAGCAAAGGGGUAAAAGAGGAAAAAGGAUAAAGGAGGGGUCUAUAGGAAAGGUUUGAGGCAGGAGCACAGGCGACGAGGAAGGACAAGCAAGGAUGGACAUUAUAGAAGGCAUCCUGAUACGGAAGGGUUUAAGAAAAUAAUUUCGGGACGGAGGCAACAGGGAUAAAAGUGAGGGAGGAGGAAUCCCCGGGGCAAGGGGAGGAGUUAAAAGAGGAAGCCAAAAAGCAGAGGAGGAUCCCAGGCCUAAAAAGAAAGGGUGGAGAAGGAACCCGGGGUGCAGCUGCCACCGGUGGGGCAAUUCUGUAGUCGAAUCCAGGUUUUGAGGGGGAGGGUGGGUAGGCUGUGCGGGACAGGGUGAGAGAGCCCCCCAAGAGGGCAAGGGUAACUCAUGGGGGUGGAGUCGCCUACCUCCGGGGGACCCCCGCGGAGGGGGUGCGGGCGGUCGGGGUCGGGCUGCCGGCACCCCGCCUCAGCAGCAGCGGCCGCUCCCGGGCUCCAUUGGCCGCCUCCGCUUUCCUGACAGCGGCCGCGGCGGCUGCACCAGGCCCUGGCUGCGGGGCUGCCCUCGGCGCUGCCUGAAGGGGCCUUCGCGCAGCCCCAAGUUCGACCGGGCCGCGCAACCUCCUCUUCCUCGCCUCGUACAACCAAGGAAAAAAAAAAAUUCCCAGCAGGUACUGAUGUAGAUUCCUCUCCCGAGUCCCAGUCCUUCUUCCCGAGGUCGGCUUCCUUGCUUCCCCGACGCUCAGGACCCUACCGAUCCCAUAGUAACCUAAAGAGUCGGGUGAGCUGCCCGGAACAUGCCUGUUCAGAAAUUUAAAAGGGGGAGGAGACGAGAUAGUUGGAAGCUAAAGAGGGAGGCGGGCGAAGGGAGGAGCCUAUGGAUGGAAGGAGGGGCCAAUCUUUGAGAGGCGGCCCUAAGGGAGGGGUUCCGAGACUAAGGAAGCCGAGAGGGAAGUAAAUUUGUAGGGUAAGGUUCCCGCGCUCCCGGCCGUGAGCAGACAGAGGCCGGGUGGACAAACGGGAGUGCGUGCCCCUGUUAGAGGAGACGUACAGACAUAUCGGGUACUUCCAUGAGUACAUGAACUUGCAAGUUAUAUGUAAAUGAGCCCGUUUUAGUUAGCCACCGAGUUACCGUAACUUCAGACAGUAGCAUUCUCCCCUCCCCUGUCCUACACGGACUCCCUGAGCAAAUCAGGUUGUGGGAUGGAAAAGGGGAGGGGAGAAAAAGGGAAGAUAGUUACCCUCACUACCCUUUUCCUACUCAUCUUUAAGGACGGUGCCAAGAUUACGCCCCUUAUCACUUCGGGAAUGGCGCGGUCCAACCACGUCAGUCUUAACGCCGUUAGCAGCCAGACUCGAGGCCGUGGUUCUGCCUCCGAGGUCCUCCCGCCUAGGCAGCUUUUGGCCUCCAGCCUCGGACGCCGAGCCCUCCAGGGAGGAGCUGGCCUGGGGCUGGCCAGGGCAAGGUUGGGAGAGAAAUCUGCUGAAGUGGAAAUAAGUGAACAAAUGAAGUCUCCCUGAAAGAAAAUCUCUAUUUCUUGGUAAAACCAAGAUUCCCUGACAGAAACUACUCUAUGCAGAAGACAAAGUAGAUCCUCAAUAAAUAUUGGUUUACUGCAUUUCUCAAGGACAAA